rnacentral:tRNA from 1 species
AUCUUUCUAGUAUUAACUGCUAGUACAAGUGACUUCCAAUCACCCAGUCUUGGUUAGAGCCCAAGGAAAGAUA